rnacentral:rRNA from 1 species
UACGUAGGUGGCAAGCGUUAUCCGGAUUUAUUGGGCGUAAAGGGAACGCAGGCGGUCUUUUAAGUCUGAUGUGAAAGCCUUCGGCUUAACCGGAGAAGUGCAUUGGAAACUGGGAGACUUGAGUGCAGAAGAGGAGAGUGGAACUCCAUGUGUAGCGGUGAAAUGCGUAGAUAUAUGGAAGAACACCAGUGGCGAAAGCGGCUCUCUGGUCUGUAACUGACGCUGAGGUUCGAAAGCGUGGGUAGCAAACAGG